CCUACGGGGGGCAGCAGUGAGGAAUAUUGGUCAAUGGACGAGAGUCUGAACCAGCCAAGUAGCGUGAAGGAUGACUGCCCUAUGGGUUGUAAACUUCUUUUAUAUGGGAAUAAAAUGUUCCACGUGUGGGAUUUUGUAUGUACCAUAUGAAUAAGGAUCGGCUAACUCCGUGCCAGCAGCCGCGGUAAUACGGAGGAUCCGAGCGUUAUCAGGAUUUAUUGGGUUUAAAGGGAGCGUAGGUGGAUUGUUAAGUCAGUUGUGAAAGUUUGCGGCGCAACCGUAAAAUUGAAGUUGAAACUGGAGGUCUGGAGGACAGUAGAGGUGUGAGGAAUUCGUGGUGUAGCGGUGAAAUGAUUGGAUAUCACGAAGAACGCCGAUUGCGAGGGAAGCUCACUGGCCGGAAACGGACUCUGAGGCUCGAAAGUGUGGGUAUCAAACAGGAUGAGAUACCCGGGUAGUC
rnacentral:rRNA from 1 species